AUUGAACGCUGGCGGCAUGCCUUACACAUGCAAGUCGAACGGUAACGGGCCUUCGGGUGCCGACGAGUGGCGAACGGGUGAGUAAUACAUCGGAACGUGCCCGAUCGUGGGGGAUAACGAGGCGAAAGCUUUGCUAAUACCGCAUACGAUCUACGGAUGAAAGCAGGGGACCGCAAGGCCUUGCGCGGACGGAGCGGCCGAUGGCAGAUUAGGUAGUUGGUGGGAUAAAAGCUUACCAAGCCGACGAUCUGUAGCUGGUCUGAGAGGAUGAUCAGCCACACUGGGACUGAGACACGGCCCCGACUCCUGCGGGAGGCAGCAGUGGGGAAUUUUGGACAAUGGGCGCAAGCCUGAUCCAGCCAUGCCGCGUGCAGGAUGAAGGCCUUCGGGUUGUAAACUGCUUUUGUCCGGAACGAAAAGCCUUCUUUUAAUACAGGAGGGUCAUGACGGUACCGGAAGAAUAAGCACCGGCUAACUACGUG
rnacentral:rRNA from 1 species